rnacentral:lncRNA from 1 species
UUUAGAGUUGAUCGGUUAUGUAGAUUAUUUCUAGGGUUUUUGCUGAUCUGAAAAUUCCCAUUUUUAGUUGCAGGGUUGUAUAGAAAUUUAGUACCACUUUCCAUAUAUGAAAGAUGUCAGGAUCUGAAACUGGAAUCAUGACUACCAGAGAGCCCUUCAGCAUGGGUCUCCAGAAAAAUGCGGUACCGUCACAGCCGGUGAUACAAAACAUGCGCUUAGCCUUCAGUCCAGACGGAGCAGCUGUGUACAAGCCCGUUUCCGGGACCUCCCCGCCGUACCAGUCUUCCGGCGGUACCGGUGGAGAUGGUUCCACCGGCGGCGCCAUCAUACCUCACGGCCUUAACAUGAAUAUGGGGAGUGAGCCCUUGAAGAGGAAGAGAGGGAGGCCAAGGAAAUACGGCCCAGAUGGGACCAUGGCACUGGCGUUGUCACCUGCUCCUUCUGGUGUGAACGUAUCUCAGUCCGGUGGGG